AAGGAAUUUUCCUAAUAUAAAACAAAUUUUAAUCUGUCUAAUGGCUGCUACAUUUUGCGAUUUACGUGUGUGGCAAAUUAAAUUUCAAUUGUUAUUUAAAUAAUUAAUGAAGAUUUACUGUGUGUUGACCGAGUAUCUACCGUGAGAGUUUUACAAAUCCCAAGAGAAAUCACUCUGUCUACGACUGAAAUUGACGUCUAAAUCCGAAGUCCAUUCCGAGACACACAAGAGCAAACGACACGUGCCAUAAGAAAGAGACACACACCGUACCUACGAGUGAGAGCGAGACAGCACCACUUCCUCAGCUCCGUCCCCGUUAGAAUAUUAAUGGAAAUCAUCUGUAUUGCUUCUAUUGCGACUGUGAUGAAGAAAAAUUUAGCUGUCACCAAUCUAUUGUACUGAUUUUUAGCAAAUCUUUUUUGGAGAACGACCUUUUGUCGUUAAUGGAGCCGUAGUACACCGCCCCGCCAAAAGGCCAAGCACUACACGAAGAAUCGAGAGGUUCACCAAUCGCGAACUGUGCCACAUGGAGCCCACCCUCACUCACCCAACAUAUCUGAUCGGAAACCGCUUCACCAAGAAAACCUUCCCGGGACAGCCCCAAGAGUACCACCACUGCCGAGCUAAUACCAAUAUGCUCUUAAAAUAGAAAACCAACUCCUGCAAAGCCACCGCCAAAGAGAAACGACCGGCAUUAAAAGUUAUACAAUUCCUUCUUCGUUCUAUUCUAAUUUCGUUCACUCACUCAAUCAUUCACUCAUUUCAUUCAUCAUUCAGUGACUUUUGUGUUGGCAUGGCCAAAUUGUGAUGGAAUUUUAUGAUCUAGUAGAUAAGGACUAUAGUAUGCAUGAUAGUCGGAAGGAAGAUACCUAUACUUGGGAGUCUAGCGUGAGAUUAGCUCUGGUUGGUAGGGAAGAGGAACUCGGGAUGUAUUUGGAAGAGAG